rnacentral:misc_RNA from 1 species
CUCUCCUCAUUAGGAACCUCCAUAACCGCCCAUAUUUCUCCACCCUCCUCCUUCAGCUCAAAUCCGAUACACUCCAACAAUUCAACCCCUCCUGUAACCUCACUGAUAGCCUCCCUAAUCUUUGGAUUCCCCAUUCUAAUCUUCCUGAACUUUGCAUUAUCUGGCUCCCUAACAACAUUUCUGAACAGUCGAAGCGCAACUUCCACAGACCCCGCGGGCGGCUUCCCUGACAAAUACAUACCGACAGAAGCCUGCAAUUCGCCACUACUAGAUUCUCCCGUAACAUUUCCUUCAUCAACCGAACCUUUGUUGUUGUUUUUAUUGGCACAGCUUUCUACAUGCAUAGAAACCUCUUCUUGUGAUUUAUAUGAUUGUCCACAAAUCGGGCAUUCAAACACAUUCAA